UCGGGUUGUAAAGCACUUUUGUCCGGAAAGAAAACUUCUGCCCUAAUACGGUGGGAGGAUGACGGUACCGGAAGAAUAAGCACCGGCUAACUACGUGCCAGCAGCGCGGUAAUCGUAGGGUGCGAGCGUUAAUCGGAAUUACUGGGCGUAAAGCGUGCGCAGGCGGUUCGUUAAGACAGAUGUGAAAUCCCCGGGCUUAACCUGGGAACUGCAUUUGUGACUGGCGAGCUAGAGUAUGGCAGAGGGGGGUAGAAUUCCACGUGUAGCAGUGAAAUGCGUAGAGAUGUGGAGGAAUACCGAUGGCGAAGGCAGCCCCCUGGGCCAAUACUGACGCUCAUGCACGAAAGCGUGGGGAGCAAACAGGAUUAGAUACCCUGGUAGUCCACGCCCUAAACGAUGUCAACUAGUUGUUGGGUCUUCAUUGACUUAGUAACGUAGCUAACGCGUGAAGUUGACCGCCUGGGGAGUACGGUCGCAAGAUUAAAACUCAAAGGAAUUGACGGGGACCCGCACAAGCGGUGGAUGAAUGUGGAUUAAUUCGAUGCAACGCGAAAAACCUUACCUACCCUUGACAUGGUCGGAACCCUGCUG
rnacentral:rRNA from 1 species